rnacentral:rRNA from 1 species
GAUGAACUCUUGCUACAGGCUUAACACAUGCAAGUCGAGGGGCAGCAUCAUCAAAGCUUGCUUUGAUGGAUGGCGACCGGCGCACGGGUGAGUAACACGUAUCCAACCUGCCGACAACACUGGGAUAGCCUUUCAAAAGAAAGAUUAAUACCGGAUGGCAUAUUUUUCCCCGCAUGGGAUGACUAUUAAAGAAUUUCGGUUGUCGAUGGGGAUGCGUUCCAUUAGGCAGUUGGCGGGGUAACGGCCCACCAAACCGACGAUGGAUAGGGGUCCUGAGAGGAAGGUCCCCCACAUUGGAACUGAGACACGGUCCAAACUCCUACGGGAGGCAGCAGUGAGGAAUAUUGGUCAAUGGACGAGAGUCUGAACCAGCCAAGUAGCGUGAAGGAUGACUGCCCUAUGGGUUGUAAACUUCUUUUAUACGGGAAUAAAGUGAGCCACGUGUGGCUUUUUGUAUGUACCGUAUGAAUAAGGAUCGGCUAACUCCGUGCCAGCAGCCGCGGUAAUACGGAGGAUCCGAGCGUUAUCCGGAUUUAUUGGGUUUAAAGGGAGCGUAGGCGGGUUGUUAAGUCAGUUGUGAAAGUUUGCGGCUCAACCGUAAAAUUGCAGUUGAUACUGGCGACCUUGAGUGCAACAGAGGUAGGCGGAAUUCGUGGUGUAGCGGUGAAAUGCUUAGAUAUCACGAAGAACUCCGAUUGCGAAGGCAGCUUACUGGAUUGUAACUGACGCUGAUGCUCGAAAGUGUGGGUAUCAAACAGGAUUAGAUACCCUGGUAGUCCACACAGUAAACGAUGAAUACUCGCUGUUGGCGAUAUACAGUCAGCGGCCAAGCGAAAGCAUUAAGUAUUCCACCUGGGGAGUACGCCGGCAACGGUGAAACUCAAAGGAAUUGACGGGGGCCCGCACAAGCGGAGGAACAUGUGGUUUAAUUCGAUGAUACGCGAGGAACCUUACCCGGGCUUAAAUUGCAACUGACUGAACCGGAAACGGUUCUUUCUUCGGACAGUUGUGAAGGUGCUGCAUGGUUGUCGUCAGCUCGUGCCGUGAGGUGUCGGCUUAAGUGCCAUAACGAGCGCAACCCUUAUCGAUAGUUACUAGCAGGUCAUGUUGAGGACUCUAUUGAGACUGCCGUCGUAAGAUGUGAGGAAGGUGGGGAUGACGUCAAAUCAGCACGGCCCUUACGUCCGGGGCUACACACGUGUUACAAUGGGGGGUACAGAAGGCAGCUACACGGCGACGUGGUGCUAAUCCCGAAAGCCUCUCUCAGUUCGGAUUGGAGUCUGCAACCCGACUCCAUGAAGCUGGAUUCGCUAGUAAUCGCGCAUCAGCCACGGCGCGGUGAAUACGUUCUCGGGCCUUGCACA